UCUGUCCUGAGGCUCAGUCAGUAGAGCUUUGCGCCAACAACACAAAAGUCAUGGGUUUAAACCCCAGGGAAAGCA